rnacentral:rRNA from 1 species
AUACGGAGGAUCCGAGCGUUAUCCGGAUUUAUUGGCUUUAAAGGGUGCGCAGGUGGCCAUUUAAGUCAGCGGUUAAAUCGUGGGGCUCAACCCCAUUCUGCCGUUGAUACUGGGUGGCUUGAUUGCGGUCGAGGUUGGCGGAAUUCGUUGUGUAGCGGUGAAAUGCAUAGAUAUGACGAAGAACACCGAUUGCGUAGGCAGCUGACCAGACCGCAAAUGACGCUCAUGCACGAAAGUGCGGGGAUCGAACAGGAUUAGAUACCCUGGUAGUCCGCACAGUAAACGAUGAAUACUUGUUUUCGGCGAUAUAAUGUCGGAGGCAAAGCGAAAGCGAUAAGUAUUCCACCUGGGGAGUACGCCGGCAACGGUGAAACUCAAAUGAAUUGACGGGG